UCCGCCAGCUCUUGCUGCUUGGUCGCAUCCAAAGUCUGACUCGGUUAUUGGAAGACAAUCAGGGCCCAAAGGUCGUUUACAUCGACUCGUGGAUAUUCUCAGAGUUGUUUGGCGAGAAUGGCGAAAUGCCGAGGGCCUUCCAGAGGCUGUUCCGAGUCUCACUCGUGGUUGAAUCGGUCCCAGGAUGCGGAGUUCUGAUCUUCAUUUAUGGAUUGCCCCUUUUCAAGACUCUUGCGAUGCUCCUGAUUGGGACAGUGUCUUUCCAGCUUCGGACCCGCAGAAAUCGAGCCAAAGUACGAGCCAAGUACCUGCAAAGUUCUGGAUGGGCUUCCAGGAGCUCCAAUUAAGGCCUGGCAGGACCUUAGGACAAGGAUGGUAUGCUUUCAGAAAGACUGCUGGCCUGGAGAUCUGGAGGCCGAGGCCAAGGCCACAGUACUGUUUGUGCUGUGAAAGGUGGGGAAGGGGAUGGGUGCGGGGGCAAGUGUUCUUAAUUCUGUCAUGGUUUAAGUUAUUGCAAACUCGAGCUUUUAAAUAAAGUUUCAAUGGUUUUAUAAUUU